rnacentral:tRNA from 1 species
UGGCUUAAUGGUUAAGAGCACUGGCUGCUCUUCCAGAGGACCUGGGUUCAAUUCCCAG